AAGAUGAACUCGUGGGGAUAUGCAACCCUCUCUGCCUUCCUCAUGCAGCUCACGGCUCAUGAAUGACCCGUGCUCAUAUGGUAGGUGGAGAAAUGGAGGUUCAGGAAGCAUACAUCCAUGGGACUGGCCAGCAAGAGAGUCUCCCUAUGCAACCCUGGCUGGCUUAGAACUCACUAUAUGGAUCAAGCUGGUCUUGAACUCAAAGAGAUCUCCCUGUCUCAGACUCCCAAGUACUAGGAUUAAAGGCAUUCACCACUGUGUCAAA